rnacentral:rRNA from 1 species
CCAAUUUUUGGCGAAAUUAAAUACAACUUUCGACAACGGAUCUCUUGGUUCUCCCAUCGAUGAAGAACGCAGCGAAUUGCGAUAAGUAAUGUGAAUUGCAGAAUUCAGUGAAUCAUCGAAUCUUUGAACGCACCUUGCGCUCCCUGGUAUUCCUAGG